rnacentral:rRNA from 1 species
GAUGAACGCUAGCUACAGGCUUAACACAUGCAAGUCGAGGGGCAGCAUGAGAUUAGCUUGCUAAUCUUGAUGGCGACCGGCGCACGGGUGAGUAACGCGUAUCCAACCUUCCCCCUACUCAGGCAUAGCCCGGUGAAAGUCGGAUUAAUUCCCUAUGUUCUCCAAUGCAGACAUCUAAGUUGGAGCAAAGAUUCAUCGCUAUGGGAUGGGGAUGCGUCUGAUUAGGUUGCAGGCGGGGUAACGGCCCACCUGGCCAACGAUCAGUAGGGGUUCUGAGAGGAAGGUCCCCCACAUUGGAACUGAGACACGGUCCAAACUCC